GUGCGGACACCAGUGCCAGGUCAACCGGUCGCCACAGGAUCCAGCCAGCUCAGUGGAUCCCAGCCGAUUCAACCAGCCUGAUUUUAUUUUAGAUUGAUUUAUUUUAGUUAGAUUUAUUUUAUGUUGAUUGGAUUUAUUUGCAUAUUGUCAUUUGGGUUUAUUUGCAAAUUGUCAUUUUAGGGCCUUUUCGGGAUUGUUUUAUUUGUAGGAAUCUAUUUGUUAUUUUGUGACCCUAUUUAUAUGGGUUCACCCUCAUGUUUAG
rnacentral:lncRNA from 1 species